rnacentral:rRNA from 1 species
AGCUCCAAGAGCGUAUAUUAAUACUGCUGUAGUUAAAACGCCCGUAGUAUACCUAAGAGUGGGUGUGUAGUAAUUAGUUUUACCAGAGGACGGUUGGCGAGAGUUUAUCACUCUUGUUUGCCUACUUUUGGUAGACUUUAGUCGGGCUGGAUCUUUGGUCCUCGUCUGACAGUUGCUACGUACUUACUUACCACGGUUCAUCCGUGAGGCCCUUGGCUUGCAACUGUAAAUAAAUCGUUGUGCUUAAAGCGGGCUAUGAUACUCUGCCAGAGCGAUUUAGCAUGGGACUGCAGAGUAGCUGUAUUUGAGCGAAGGUUGCACCUCGGUGUGGCUGGAGCUUGGUACAGCGCUUGUAAUGGAGCUCAGGGUGAGGCCCCGGGUACCAUGAGGCUAGAGGUGAAAUUCUGAGACCCUCAUGUGACCAACUAAGGCGAAAGCUGUCGUGGGCCACCACAAGCUCGUCUAUCAGGGACGAAAGUUGGGGGAUCGAAGACGAUUAGAUACCGUCGUAGUCCCAACUAUAAACGAUACCAACCGAGUAUUUGGGAAGACACUAUCCCAGCGAUCUUCUCAGAACUCAAGGGAAACCUUAAGUCUUUGGGUUCUGGGGGGAGUAUAGUCGCAAGACCGAAACUUAAAGGAAUUGACGGAAAGGCACCACCAGGAGUGGAGUCUGCG